UACGAAGGGGGCUAGCGUUGCUCGGAAUUACUGGGCGUAAAGCGCACGUAGGCGGAUUGUUAAGUCGGGGGGUGAAAUCCUGGAGCUCAACUCCAGAACUGCCUUCGAUACUGGCGAUCUCGAGUUCGGGAGAGGUGAGUGGAACUGCGAGUGUAGAGGUGAAAUUCGUAGAUAUCAGGAGGAACACCGGUGGCGAAGGCGACAUCCUGGACCGGUAUUGACGCUGAGGCGCGAAAGCCAGGGGAGCAAACGGG
rnacentral:rRNA from 1 species